rnacentral:lncRNA from 1 species
GUCUUUUUCCAGUGGUGCUCUAAUUGUAAUUUGUAUUUAGUCUUCUGUCUACUGUUCGACAACUAAUGUGAGUUUGGUAGUUUCAAGGACUUCAUACAAUAUUUUCUGCGGACACAAAGGAUCUUGGCAGAGAAACAAAGGAACACAAAGGAGGGAGCAAAUGUAUUCCAGAGAAAGCUCUUGCCUGGAUGAGUUCUGAAACCAAAGCGAAGGCUGAACUACUGAAGAUAAUUGGGUCCAGUGCUGAAACGUGCUGCUUCCAGGGAAAAGAAAAGAACUCAAGAUGUUUUGUCCUUCAUGAGCAAGCUUUGGUGUUCCCUUCCACUUUCACUACUGGAGUGAAGUGUCAGACUUCAAGGUCCCUUCAAGGACACAGAACUCAAAGUCUCUGGCUAAGACAAGAAUUACCAGACCCUUAUUAUCACCUCACUCAUCUCAUUGUAAUGCCCCCUCCCCUACCUUGGCAACCUGUCCUAUUCCUUCCUGCCCCCUACUAGGAAAGGCAUAUGGCCCACUCCUCACCCCACCAC